rnacentral:rRNA from 1 species
GACGAACGCUGGCGGCGUGCUUAACACAUGCAAGUCGAACGGAAAGGCCCUGCUUGCAGGGUACUCGAGUGGCGAACGGGUGAGUAACACGUGGGUGAUCUGCCCUGCACUUCGGGAUAAGCCUGGGAAACUGGGUCUAAUACCGGAUAGGAGCCAUUUUUAGUGUGAUGGUUGGAAAGUUUUUUCGGUGUAGGAUGAGCUCGCGGCCUAUCAGCUUGUUGGUGGGGUAAUGGCCUACCAAGGCGGCGACGGGUAGCCGGCCUGAGAGGGUGGACGGCCACAUUGGGACUGAGAGACGGCCCAGACUCCGACGGGAGGCAGCAGUGGGGAAUAUUGCACAAUGGGCGCAAGCCUGAUGCAGCGACGCCGCGGGGGGGAUGACGGCCUUCGGGUUGUAAACUCCUUUCGCUAGGGACGAAGCUUUUUGUGACGGUACCUAGAUAAGAAGCACCGGCUAACUACGUG